GACGAACGCUGGCGGCAUGCCUAACACAUGCGAGUCUAGGGGUAGCAAUACCACUGGCGCACGGGUGAGUAACACGUAGGUUAUCUGCCCCCAUCACAGACAUAACCCCGGGAAACCGGGGCUAAUAUCUGAUGAGGUCGCGAGAUCAAAGCUUCGGCGGAUGGGGAUGAGCCUGCGGCUGAUUAGCUAGUUGGUGAGGUAAUGGCUCACCAAGGCGACGAUCAGUAGCUGGUCUGAGAGGAUGAACAGCCACACUGGAACUGAGACACGGUCCAGACUCCUACGGGAGGCAGCAGUGAGGAAUAUUGGUCAAUGGGAGCAAUCCUGAACCAGCAAUGCCGCGUGUGGGAUGACAGGGCUUCGCCUUGUAAACCACUGUCGGACGGGACGAAAGGAGGCCUCGGGCCUCUGGGACGGUACCGUCAAAGGAAGGGUCGGCUAACUACGUGCCAGCAGCCGCGGUAAU
rnacentral:rRNA from 1 species